CUAUCCUCCACUUUCCCGGGAGCUGCUGAUCGUUGAGACUGAACAAGUGGGAUGCUUCUGUUUCAAUGAUGAACAGCGGCCCCAGUCACCACAUCCUUGCAGCGACCCCUUCGCAUUUGGCGCCUAUCCCCUCGCUCAGCAGUCACAUGACCAUCACCUACUCAUCUGGAUUGGCCCUCGCCACAAGUUCCUCCCUGACAAAGUGCAGAAAUGAAUCCAGGCCGUGUUCUACCUCGACCUCCUGACUGACGUCUGGUUCUCAUGUCGGAGUUUGACUGAACUGAAAAAUCCAGAAAUGAAUCCAGGCCGUGUUCUACCCCGACCUCCUGACUGACGUCUGGUCCUCAUGUUGGAGUUUGACUGAACUGAAAAAUCCAGAAAUGAAGCCAGGCCGUAUUCUCCCCCGACCUCCUGACUGACGUCUGGUCCUCAUGUCGGAGUUUGACUGAACUGAAAAAUCCAGGUUUUCAGGACCUUCUGGAUUCUCUACAGAAGAUGGUGACUCAGCGUUAUCAGUGCUCUCUGGACUCUGAGGUGCAGGAAACACAAGGAAGUGAAACACAGAAGUCUCCAGAGCUGCGGCUGGUCAUCCUGUGGACGACUCUCUUUAGGACACAGUUACAUGAUGUCACAUAUUAUAUAACAUGCUGUGAAUCUGUACUUUCACUGCUGAGAUCAAACCUGCAGUUUCAUUUGCUUUAAAUGAGCAAAUGCACAAGAGGCUCCAGAGAAACGCUGAGUGAAGAGCUAAUGUGACACAAAGAGUGUUGAGAUGUUACAAUUACUGAAAUCAAAUCUGUGCAGGAUUUAUUUGAAAUGAUUCAAGUGUCCAGACAAUCCACAAACUGUUCUACAAUAAAAACAAGGUUUUAUAACUGUU